rnacentral:lncRNA from 1 species
GGAAGUUACUGCCUUGCUCUCUGGACCUCCUGUCUCUUUUCUCUGAAUCUUCAUUCCCUCCUGUUCCUCUGUCUCUGACCCUGUCUCCAUGUCUGUCUCUUCCACUGCCUGGCUCCUUCCUCUUCUUCACUUGCUUCUGACAGUCAGGGUUUCUGCCUCGCCCCGUCUUUCUCUCUGUCCCUCCACGUCUUUGUUUUUCUCAUCUCCGCUUCUCUCUCCCUCCGUGUCCAGGUCUCUUCCUGUCCAUCCAUCUCUCAGCCUCAGCCUAGCUCGGUCCUCCACUCUGAUUCUCUCCCAUCCAUCUCCCUGGGCCUGACAGAGGCUCUUUGUCGAGUCUCUUCCUCUGUCUGCCCCCAUCCGUUGUUUUCUCUGUAUGUCGCUGGCUGCGCAUGUGCCACUGUUUCUAUCAUUUUCUCUCCAUCUAGCCAUUGAUCUCUGAUUCCCCUGCUCCGCUUCUCUGUCUCUCAUCCCUGUCACCACCUCCCUCUCUGUCACUUUCUUAUUCUCUCCCUGCCUCUUUGCACGCUCUUUGCACAUCAGGCCCGGCCCCAGCCCAGGGUCUCUGGGCUCCAGGAAGCCAGCCAGGGGCUGUGCGGGCUGCGCUGUAACUCAGGAACUCCGCCAGCAAUCAUUUCAUUAGAUAUCCCCCUGGGGCACCGGCCUAGAACAGAGCAACAAAUAUUUACUAAUUCCAUUAACAGAAGAGAGUUGGAAUUUUUUUUUCCCAAGCGAAUAUCCGAGGCCCCAAGUUCAUGUAGCCACCCAAAGUUACACUUUGGUUCACCAAGACGAAGACUCAUCCUUCCUCUCUCUAUGGAUCUUUCAGAUGAAGAAAUUAAGGCUCAGGAGGGAGGAAAAAAAUAAAAGAAAGAAUUGUCCAAGGUCACCAAGGCAUCUGGACUCCCAUAUGUUGAGCUACUUCUGCUUGUGGGGCAGCUGCAAUACAUGAAUUCUUCACUACCAACUUAAUAUAAGCUAAGGAAUGCAAAAGAUUGCCAGCAAAUGACCAGAAGCUAGAGGGGAGGCAUGGAACAGAUCUUCUCUCACAGCCUCAGAAGGAACUAGCCCUACUGACAGCUCGAUCUCAGACUUCUAGACUCCAGACUGGUGAGACAACAUAUUUCUGUUGUUUAAGCCACCCAGUUUGUGGCAAUUUGUUACGGCAGACCAGCAAAUGAAUACAGGAUCUCUACAAAAUACACUCACCUUUCAGGCAGGCCAAGAGGAUUGUUUACUGUCAGAGCUCCAAGCCCGGAACUUACUCACACACCAAAAAAGGGGCAUGGAAGUGGGAGCAAGGAUGGAGUCACGAUCCCAAAGUCCCGGAGCAUCUUCUCCACACAUUCAUGAGAGUCAGGCACAGGUUUUUAUCUCAUGCCCACAUUCAGGGGGCCAUCAUCCUGAGCCUGCACCCCCAGAGAAAGUGAGGCCCAGGAAUUUGUGAGUUUGUUGUUGCUUGUGUUACCGAAUAUCCAUGAACUGCAAAAUGGCACCAUGACCUAAUGAAGUAUUAACCCUGCCUCAUCACUGCACAUCAACCAUGAAAGCAGGCUCUUCUUGGCCAGGGCUGUUUCAAGGAGAUUUAGGAAUAUAUUUGAGGCUUCUGAAGGAUAGUUGGAAAUUAGGGGGUCUGCAAAUGGACCUCCAAGAACUCAGGACAGGGGACAUGGACCAGAAGCACCCCCUGAUCUGCCUGGGGUCUCCAACAUACUGUUCUUCCCUCCCACCCCUUUCAAGGGCUAUCCAACGUUGGAAAGAAUAAAAACUCAGAGUCAAUAGAUCUGGGUUUACAUCACAGCUUUACUCAUGAGACAUGAGACAAAUGACUUAGUCCUUCUGAGCCUCAGUUUUCUCCUCUGUAAAAUGGGAAUAAUCAUUGUAGAUGCUUCACAGAGUUGUGAAAACAUAAUGGGUAUCUAUCUAUCUAUCUAUCUAUCUAUCUAUCUAUCUAUCUGGAAUGAAAAUGCACCUGGCUCAUAGUAGACACUUGUUAACUCGAAGCUGCUUUAUUUUUGUUGUUGAUUUCUUAUUGUGAUUUUUUGUGACA